rnacentral:rRNA from 1 species
UACUAAGGGCGCACGGUGGAUGCCUUGGCAGAAACAGGCGAUGAAGGACGUGGCAAGCUGCGAUAAGCUUCGGGAAGCCGCACACAGGCGUUGAUCCGGAGAUUUCCGAAUGGGGAAACCCACCAUGGUGAUCCCAUGGUAUGUCCUACUGAAUACAUAGGUAGGAACAGGCGAACGGAGGGAAGUGAACCAUCUCAGUACCUCCAGGAGUAGAAAGAAACCUCGAUUCCGAGAGUAGUGGCGAGCGAAAUCGGACAUAGCCCAAACCCGUGAUAUUUCGGUAUCUCGGGGGUUGUAGGGCCUGCACUAGUAGAGUUACCAAUCCAGUCGAUAGCUGAAGACCGUUGGAAAGCGGUCCCAAAGAGCGUGACAGGCGCGUAGGCGAAAUUGAUCUGGACUCGAAGCAGGUACCUGAGUAAGGCGGGGCACGAGAAACCCUGCUUGAAUCCACGGGGACCAUCCCGUAAGGCUAAAUACUCGUUUCUGACCGAUAGUGAACCAGUACCGUGAGGGAAAGGCGAAAAGAACCCCGGAAGGGGAGUGAAAUAGAACGUGAAAUUGCAAGUUUACAAACAGAAGAAAAACGACUUAGCGUUUAACUUCGUGCCUGUUGAAGAAUGUUCCGGCGACUUAUAAUUAGUGGCAGGUUAAAAUAGAUAAUAUUGGAGCCAAAGUGAAAGCGAGCUUGAAUAGAGCGUUAGUCCCUAAUUAUAGACCCGAACCCGCUUGAUCUAACCAUGGCCAGGAUGAAGCUUAGGUAACACUGUGUGGAGGUCCGAACCGACUAAUGUUGAAAAAUUAGCGGAUGAGCUGUGGUUAGGGGUGAAAUGCCAAUCGAAAGCGGAGCUAGCUGGUUCUCCCCGAAAUGUAUUUAGGUGCAGCGGUUAAUGUUUUAGCGUAGGGGUAAAGCACUGUUUCGGUACGGGCUGGUAAUUCGGUACCAAAUCGAGGCAAACUCUGAAUACUACGUGCAUAGUUAACCAGUAAGACUACGAGGGAUAAGCUUCAUAGUCAAGAGGGAAACAGCCCAGAUCACCAGCUAAGGCCCCUAAAUAAUUACUAAGUGGUAAAGGUGGUGA